CCAUGGAAAAAAUCCCAUCUUUCAUUGUCGGAGAAGUUAUUUGAAGCUCAGCAUGAUAAUCUUUCAAUGUUAUUGGAAGGCAUCAAAGUCCGUAUCGUCAUCAUUUCUGAAGGACAUAUAACAUUUCUUCAGAAAUAUGGUGUUACAAUAAGUGCUGAGAGUAGCAACAUUAAUGUCACGACCCAAACCGAAGGGCCGUGACCGGCACCCGGUGCCUUACUCAACCGAGUACCAACAUAACAUAUCUUUCUUAUUAUACUAUCUUGAGUAAAUGAGCCAGAAACCCAUUAUGAGAUAAUAAGAAUAAAACGUAAGGGAAUACUCAACAUAUGACGACCCAACAUGAUAUACAAACUUAUACAUGUGACAUACGGGCCUAUAAGGCAGACAUGACCAUUUGUAAACUCAACACAUGGGCCAACAAGGCCAUACAAGUAUCCAUAAACCUCACAUCUAUCUACAAGCCUCUAAGAGUACAUAAAAUCAUAAAGGUCGGGACAGAGCCCGCCAUACCAAUCAAUACAUAUCCAAAGUAUACUGACCAAAUAGGCAACUCCGGAGUAAGUGGAGUGCACCAACACAUCCGCUGAGCUGAUAACCUACGAGGAAGACUGUCAACCUAUCAAUCGGGACCUGCGGGCAUGAAACGCAGCGUCCUCAGGCAAAAGGGACGUCAGUACAAAUAAAGUACCGAGUAUGUAAGGCAGGAAAGCAUAAACAAGAACAUUAAUGUAAAGAGGGAUAGAGGAAAUACAACCUGUAACAUAUGAGUGCCUCUAGAGGCUACUGACAUGAAAUGCAUAAUACAUAUAUAUACAUAAACUUUAAAAACAUAAGCCUAUGUGGGCAUCAUCAUCAUCAUAUUGUACCCGACCUCAAAGAGGACUCGGUAAAAACGUACCCGGCCACGUGGAGCUCGGUAAAUCCAACUGAUCAGUGGUUGCACAAUAGGUGUCAUACCCGGCCUACUAUAGCGCGGCUCGGUAGAGUAAAAUAGAUGUUAUAUAUAAUGCAUGCUAGACUCAUGGAAUCAUGUUCUAAACCUUUUGGAGUGCCUUAAAGUCGUUACACCUUCGAUUAACAUUAUGGACAUCAUACCAUCAAUAUGAGCUUCUAUAGGAUUCAAGGAUCGUACAUACUUGCUUAAAAUAACUUUAUAAGGAAAGAACAACAUGAGCAACCUUAGUUUCUAGGAGUAGAUCCGUUAUGAAAUAGCGUAUUCAUUUCACUUUAGAUUAUGCCAAAAGAAAUAAGGAAGUGCCUUAACAUACCUUAACCAUGGUGAGUCCUUAAUACCUCUCAAGCUACUCUUCAAACAACUCAACUCAACCUACCUUUGCAUAAGGAAAUUCAAAAUCAGUGUUGAAUAGAGGCUAAGUCUGCAACUUAAACUUGUAGCUCGUUUAUAUAAAUUCGGGCAUCAUUUCCCCUAUAACAAGAGCCUUUUCCAAUAUCAUAUACCAACAACAAUUACCAGAGAAAUCCAGCAAUACAUAAUUAUCAAUAACAAGACACCAUAAAACAACAAUAAGUCAUAACUAUUUUACGAUGAGCGACAAGCUCCAAUUGAAAUUUGUAUACCCAUAUCAUCCCUUAUAGACUUUUUACUUUAACUUAAUAGUAUCAUUUAACAUGAUAAUAAAGUCAUUCAUCAAUAAUUCCAGCCUUAUACCAUAUAUCCAUAACAAAGGAAAUGAUCCACAACUCCAACUAUUCUUAAUUAGCAACUUUAUUCAAUAGUUCAUGUCUAGUUCAUCCAUUUAACUUAACCAAUGCCAAGAUAACCGUAAGAACCUGUAGGAACACAAUAUAAUUACCUCAUACAGAAGAUGCAAGUCGAAAUCAAUAUUAUAUUUAGCUUACAACAACCCAACACACCCCAAUCAAUUCAUACCAAAAACAACAACUAUAGUAGUGUCCAACACCCCGAAAAUAUUACAAAGAAUGACUAAUCCAUAAUUUUGCCAUUACGUGGUGUUUCUCCACAACAUUUAUCCUCCAAAAACUCCAUUAAAUAGCAGCAAAAUAUAUAGACCAAAAGCUACACGAAACAGCCCACAAAAUAGUCCAUUACAAAUCAAAUAACUCGAACUCACGGCUUCCGAUCACCGUCCCAUGAGUUCUAACUAUUAUGAAAUAAAUUAAUCAAUCUUCCUUGAUGUUUAAGAGCUUGAAACCAGAAAUUAGGCAUUUUUAUUAACCUCAAAAUACCUUCCAAAACUGAAACUACAAAGAAAAAGAAAGGUUAUAUAGUGAUACUUACGUCGUGGGGAUCGUUCUAGUGUUAUUGCUUCGUGAUUUCGUGCCUCGGACGAUAAUCUUGUUGGAUAACCUUGUGGAAAGCUUAAGGGUGAGGUUAGGGGUAUUAUUUGGUCGAGCUCUCUGGAAUUAUGAAGAAAGAGACGACAUAGGAAGAUAAAUAUCCAUUUUGGUUGAAAAGUCAAAAGGUGCUACUUGGCACCAUCUCAUUGGCCCUUUUUCAAAUACUUAUAUCUUUUUAU
rnacentral:lncRNA from 1 species